AUGGAAGCAGAACUCACAGCACUAGAUACAGCUACGGUCGAAGCAGAUUGGCUUCGUCGGCUCUUGAAUGACUUACCGGUUGUUGAGAAACCUGUACCGGGUAUCCUUAUGAACUGCGACAAUCAAAAUGUGAUCACGAAAGUGAGCAGCUCAAAGCAUAACAUGAAGUCAUCAAGACACGUUCAGAGAAGGUUAAAGUCUGUCAGAAAAAUGAAAAACUCCGGAGUUAUUGCAUUGGAUUAUAUCCAAACGUCUAAAAAUUUGGCAGAUCCUUUUACUAAGGGUCUAUCACAUAAUGUGAUAGAUAAUGCAUCGAGGGAGAUGGGUAUGAGACCCACAAUAUGA
rnacentral:rRNA from 1 species